CGGACGGGUGAGUAACGCGUGGGUAACCUGCCUCAUACAGGGGGAUAACAGUUAGAAAUGACUGCUAAUACCGCAUAAGCACACAGUACCGCAUGGUACAGUGUGAAAAACUCCGGUGGUAUGAGAUGGACCCGCGUCUGAUUAGCUGGUUGGCGGGGUAACGGCCCACCAAGGCGACGAUCAGUAGCCGACCUGAGAGGGUGACCGGCCACAUUGGGACUGAGACACGGUCCAA
rnacentral:rRNA from 1 species